CCCGCUGAACUUAAGCAUAUCAAUAAGCGGAGGAAAAGAAACUAACAAGGAUUCCCCUAGUAACUGCGAGUGAAGCGGGAAAAGCUCAAAUUUAAAAUCUGGGGGUCCCUGUGGCCCUCCGAGUUGUAAUCUAGAGAAGUGCUAUCCGCGCUGGACCGUGUACAAGUCUCCUGGAACGGAGCGUCAUAGAGGGUGAGAAUCCCGUCUUUGACACGGACUACCAGGGCUUAUGUGAUGUGCUCUCAAAGAGUCGAGUUGUUUGGGAAUGCAGCUCUAAAUGGGUGGUAAAUUCCAUCUAAAGCUAAAUAUUGGCGAGAGACCGAUAGCGAACAAGUACCGUGAGGGAAAGAUGAAAAGAACUUUGGAAAGAGAGUUAAACAGUACGUGAAAUUGUUGAAAGGGAAACGCUUGAAGUCAGUCGCGUUGCCCAGAAAUCAACCUUGCUUUUGCUUGGUGUACUUUCUGGUUAACGGGUCAGCAUCAAUUUUGACCGGUGGAUAAAGGUCAGGGGAAUGUGGCAUCUUCGGAUGUGUUAUAGCCCUUGGGUGCAUACAUCGAUUGGGAUUGAGGAACUCAGCAUGCCGCAAGCCCGGGUUUUUGACCACGUACAUGCUUAGAAUGCUGGCAUAAUGGCUUUAUCGACCCGUCUUGAAAACGGG
rnacentral:rRNA from 1 species